rnacentral:lncRNA from 1 species
AACUUCCUAGGAAUCUUUACUACUAUCAACACCUUUGGAACAAAUUAGCGGGUCCAUACCUGAAUGAAGAGGACACGGUUAGCGACUCAAGACACUAUGUGACACCACAAUACUUCUUAUUUAACACAUGCACGAUAUGAUUGGGUUGUUUUUGCAAAAUAGCCUAUGUGGCCAAAGGUGGCUAUUAGUGCAAACUCAAAAAAGGUGACCUCUAAGACAUGGAAAUAUCCCACUGAGGCUUAUACGACUUCGAACUCCAAAUAAUCAUGGCCUAAAAAUUACUUUGCAGAACUGACCUAUAUUGUAAAAACGACUGAUAUGGCCAAACAUGGCUAGAGACGCAAAUCCAACAAGGACGGAGCUUAAAGGAAUGGGACACCUAGUUGUGUACUCAAGAUUUCAAGACCCGGGCCACUGAAUCACUUUUGCAAAAAUAACUCCAUUUUGCAAAACGGUUGAGGUGGCCAGAAGUGGCUAGACAUGCAAAUUCAACAAGGGCAAACUUUAAAGUAAGGAGAUACCUAAUUGUGGAUUCAAGACCCUCUGAACGUGGUUCAAAAAGUCACUUUACGAAUAGCCCUAUUUUGCAAAACAGCGUGUGUCCGAAAGUGGCUAGACAUGCAAGACUUGGUUAUAACCCCGUAGACCAAGACCUUGAGACUCACUUGGAAAAGGAGGAAGAUCGGACCCUAUGUGAGUUGCCUACGUAUCUCACCCCAAAAGACGAGAAUCAGGUAUGCGUAGUUCGGGAAGAUUGGAUAUGGGAGAAAACUUUCAAAAAAAUGCAACUAAUUUGAAAAAAACUAUUUUUUGCCUUUUUUUGAAAAUAAUAAGUGUAAAAUCCUUUUUGUUAUUUUUUUUUCUUUUAGAAAAUGGGGAAAGAAAUUAAAAGUGAUAAAACCCUCAAUAUUCUCUCUUACUUCAUUUUUCACACUUCUUUCCCGAAGAUCAGUCCGCCAAAUGACAUUUCUGCCCUUAAAUAUGCAACAUUUAGCACAUAGGAUGAUUGAAUGUCCUUUUAGACCGGCGGACCCAUUUGACACAAUUUGGACAAGCUUCCUACAAAAGACACGGUACGUCGCAUCGGGCCCUGCUAGGUCAUAAUGAUAUGAUGCAAAUAAAAAUGACCUAAAGGUUGACCUAUAUCGGGGGGAGCGUAUGGUGGAUAAUAGCUGCUCAAGCUUUCCAUCCACUCCAUAUGUCCUACCUCCCCCCCCCCCCCACCCUCCCCCAAAAUAAGGGUGACUCAACAAAGAGUUCAUUUAUGCGACGCGUACUACAAGUUUUGUUGCAGAAAGAAUUGACCGGGUAAUGCAUAUGAUGACAGUUAUAAAGCAGUAACACAUAAAGAAAAAAACUAUAAACACAUAAACAACUAACAGAUAAUAAAAUGACAUAAACAAAAUAAAAAUCAAAUAAUGCAAAUAAAAAACAUAAAAACCUCAACCGAAUAUUCUAAAAAGCCAACAAGAUCAAGUAUCAGCUCGAACCUGCGACUCCCCAGAAGAGUUGUCAAAGCUGUCACACCCUUUUUUCACUCCUUAACCCCUUUAAAAAUAUAAAAAGAUUUUUGAAGAUCAAAAGGGUUUUUCAAAUUUGAAAAGUGACAAAAUUGUGUUUUAAAAUAUUGUUCAGAGUCGUCACCUGACAUUUGAUUUCGGUGUGCAAGGUUACCGUUUCUAAAGAAAACAAUUUUACUUCACAACAUAUUUGACUCUAAAAUUGACUACACCAGAGACUCUAGAUAAAGGGGUUCAUUUGACUCAGGGAGAAGGUGUUAGGCAUUCCCCGAGUCCCGUAACUAGUACGGUUGCAUACAUGAUCUGGUUGGCUUUAAAGAAUAUUCGAAUGGAAAUAAAAACACAGAAAAAGAAAAAUAAACACAAAAGAGGUUCCAGGUCGUCCCAACCUAAUAAAAGAAAAAGAAAAAAAAAGAAAAAAAAAAGUACUAAAAGAGAAUAUACUAAGAGUUCUAAUCUAUCCUACACUACGCUUCAUCCACGAUGUAGCUUCGGCCACCGUUUACAUUCACUUCGGGGCAUUCCCCGAAAAAGAGUAAAAAAAAAUUAUACAAACUCUACCGGGUAUCCCCCGAAUGAAUUAAUUGACUAAAGGGGUGUCCUCUUACCUCACACGAAACUAAAACACAAAAUAUUCUAAUGCUUUGCCUACCCAACUGUUGUCGGCCUAAGCAUACUCCUAACACAAAAUGUAAUAAAAGUAAAAUAGAUAAAAUUAAAAGAAAUAAAAAAUAAUUUCACGCUCAUUCCCUUUUUAACUUCUUAUUUCAUGCAUUUGACGAGCCCAAUUUUUAAGGCAUGUAAACAAUUUAAUCACUAAUGAGCUCGGCCUUGUCCUACUCCCGCAACCCCAUUCAUAAAGACAAAACCAAAUAAGAAAUCCCCAAACAGCUUGAACAAUGGAACAACAAAAUGACAAUAGACAAAAUUAAAAGGGAUCAAAAUAUGAUGAGAGCCAUAGAACUUCCUAUUAAACUCAACUACCCUACCCUCACUCUAGGUGACCAACAACACUUCAAAUGAUUUCGAGGUUGAUUUUAUAGAGUUACGGUCAUCCUAGCAAUUUGCACAUUGAUUAUGAAACACCAUUCCCCUCUCUGUUAAUCCCAUUUUUAGCAUGUUGGCAACUAUUAGAAGACUAUUAACAGUCAACAAAAAGGAAAGAAAGGCACGAGAGAGCAGGGCGUUUGAUCAGAGAUCCACAUUUCACUUUCUAAAUUGGAAAAAAUGAUUUCAAAACUAUAUGGCACAAGCAGCAGCUUCUCACUAUCUCUAAAUACGAAAUCCCGAGGCAAGAAGGCAUGAACAUAACACAAAUAAGCGCAAGAAUAAAUGAACUUUGAUUGAACAUGACAGAAUGGAAAACCUCAGCAUCACAGAUCAUUUUUGAAUAACUUUGCAUUCUUACUAAUUUUCAUAUCGAAGAAGGGGCCGUUUACGCCAAUUUUAGCCAUGAAUAAUGAGAUGUUCUAAACAACUACCAAUCAUGAGAAAACAACCAGAUAAGUAAUUAAUCUUUCGCUUAAACUCAAACACACCUGAAUUUAAAUGACAUUCAAGUGACCCGAAGAAGACAAAUACUCUCAUGUAUGAAUAGAAGAAUUUAAUCAGACAAGCUCCUAAAAUUGGAUUUCAGAUUGCCACAGCGAAAUAGCACAAUUAAUUAAGAUUCAAAAACAGUACAUUUUCAGACUGCAGAAAACAGGGAUGCCAAAUAUCAUUUAAAACAUAGCCAUCACUCUAACACCAAAUGAUCAACCAUACUGCCUUUAGCACAAUAGAACAUGUUUGAGGUGUAAAAUGAUCUAAUUGAUUCAACAAGAGAUAAAGAAUAUCAGGGAUGAUUUCAGUAAUUUCAAGCUAACAAAACACACUAAAAUAGUCAUGAAAUCAGAAGCAAGGCACUCUGCUGACUUAUGAUUCGUUUAGCAGUCCUACACUUAACCAAUUCAAGUUGAACACGUCGAAACUAAGAAUUUAGAUUGAGAAGAUUACUUUGAACACCAAAACACUUCAUGGAUAGCAGAAAAACUCACUCGAGUCAGCCCACGAAUUGAUCUUACACCUAAAUCUCGAACUAAUUAAACUAUGGCUCUUAUCAUAUUAAAAUCUACACCACAAAAUCAGUAAGACAAGGGAGAGAGAUGGACCUGAAGGCUGAACUUUUAAUUAACGAAAGUUUCCAGUAAUUACACGAGCAAAUAAACCAACAGUUACAGCCGGAACUAAAAAAUGGCAACCAAACUCGAACGGAACCGCAGACUCGAACCCCACUAGUGAUCUUCGCGCAACCCAAACAUAAAACAGCUCCAAACUCAAAUGAACUCCAUGAAUUUGGAACAAAAAAUCGAAAUCGAAGUCAAAGGGAAGAAGCAGAAACUUCUCUAUGUUUUUUUUGUUUUCUAAUUUAUAUCUCUCUCUAACUCAAACUCAAAUUAACAUACUCAUAGAAACUCUUUUUUUUUCUUUUCAAAAUUUGGACAAUAAAAUUGAAGAGCUCCCCAAACCCUAGAACUUUCCUCCCAAUUUUCCGAAAAUUCCCUAUGGAAAACCUGAAAACUUCACAAUAUAUAGUUCUCUCUCAAUUAUUCUUCCAUUUCUCUCCAAGAAAUCCUAAUUUUUUUCUAAAAUCCCCUGUUUUUUACUCUUUUCAGACUAAUUUCGAACAAAUGGAAUGAUAGGAUUUAAGUCAAUCAAAUCCUACGACUCCCAUUAAUCCAAAUCCAUCCAAGAGUUUUCAAAACGCGCUAAUAAUUCUGAGAAUAUGCGUGUGAGAUGAGAGAGAAUAUUCUCAUGUCAGAAAGUCAUAAUGGUUGGGACCAUGUGGAAGAAAUAUAAGGAUAGAAGAGGGGUGUUACAACGAGGUUUUAUAUGAAGGGUUGGGG